AUGGCUGUCAAACAGCUCCUUCCUGGUGGGCUCCAGAUCUUGUCAUUCCACAUCAUGGUUUCCUUUGAGGACGUGGCCGUGCUCCUCUCCCAGGAGGAGUGGGACUGUCUGAUCCCUGCUCAGAGGGGCCUCUACAGGGAUGUGAUGCUGGAGACCUAUGGGAACCUGGUGUCACUAGGACUUCAAGCUUCCAAACCUGAUAUUAUCUCCAGGCUGGAGGAGGGGGAUGAACCAUGGACCCUACACACCGUGAGAACGCAGGGGAGCUGGAGCUGGAGGCACAAGAGAGAAGGCUAUGAUUCUAGGAUUGAUAAAAAGAACUGAUUCCAAAGCAUGACAUUUCUGAAGAAAUGGAAUCCCAGACAGCAAAAUCAAAAGAUCAUGUAAGGAAUAAUUUUAAGGAAGCUAAAGAGAUUAGUAAAACUCAGGGAAAGUUAGAGAACUGGUGGAGAAAAUAUGCAGUAGAAGGAAUUAAGAACUCCUUUUCGCAGAAGAGCAGUUUCAGAGCAAUUGUUAUGAGGUGUGUGAAAACCCUCUCUGGAGAGAAUGUCCAGAAAUUCAAUACUUUUGGAGAAGAUUGCAUUACAGACUCAAAUCUUGCCAAACAUCUUAGAGUGUCUAGAGAGGAGAGUCUCUAUCCAAAUGUGUCAAGUGUGGAAAACUUGCAACAUGAGGAGCUCAUUAACCUCCAGAGUUUCCAGUUAGGGGAAAGAGCCUGUCAGACAGAUGUGUUAGUGAAAGUACCCAGACAGAGUUCAGUUCUUAGUGAGAAUCAGAGGAUGAAUAAUCCGGAGAGACCCUUUGAGUGUACCAGAUGUGAAACAACUUUCCAUCAGAACAGAGCUUUUAACCAGCACCAGAGAAUUCAUAGUGGAGAGAAGCCCUAUGAGUGCAAUGAAUGUGGAAAAGCUUUCAGUAGGCCCUCUGUCUUCAGUAAACAUCAGAGAAUCCACACUGGUAGGAAACCCUACAUAUGUAAGGAUUGUGGCAAAUCUUUCAGUGCGCACUCAUACUUUAUUCAGCAUUGUAAAAUUCACACUGGAGAAAAAGCAUAUGAGUGUAUUAAAUGUAGGAAAGCUUUUAGUACACAUUUAUCUUAUAUGCAACAUCUAAAAAUUCAUACCGGAGAGAAACCUCAUGAGUGUAAUCAGUGUGGGAAAGCCUUUAGUCAUAGCUCUAAUCUGAUCCAUCAUCAGAGAAUUCAUAGUGGAGAAAAGCCUUACCAGUGCAAAGAAUGUGGGAAAGCCUUCAACAGACAAUCGCACCUUACUCAGCAUCAGAGAAUUCAUUCUGGAGAGAAGCCUUAUGACUGUAAUGAGUGUGGCAAAGCCUUCAGUGCACAAUUAUCUCUUAUUCAGCAUCAGAGAAUUCAUACAGGAGAAAAGUCCUAUGAAUGUAAUGAAUGUGGAAAAUCCUUUAGCCUGAACCGAACUCUAACUGUCCAUCAGAGAAUUCACACUGGAGAGAAACCUUAUAGGUGCAAUGAAUGUGGAAAAUCCUUUAGUCAGCGCUCACAAGUUACUCAGCAUAAGAGAAUUCAUACCGGCGAGAAGCCUUAUAUCUGUAAUGAGUGUGGAAAAUCAUUUGGUGCUCACCUAUCCCUUAUCCAGCAUCAGAGAAUUCACACUGGAGAGAAACCUUAUGGUUGUAGUGAGUGUGGGAAAACCUUUAGUCAAAAGGGACAUCUUAUUCAGCACCAGUGAAUUCACACAGGAGAGAAACCCUAUGAAUGUAGUGAGUGUGGAAAAGCUUUCAGCCAGAGUUUUAAUCUUAUUCACCAUCAAAGAACACACAAUGGUGAGAAGCCCUAUGAAUGUAAUGAAUGUGAUAAAGCCUUUAGUGUGCUUUCUUCCCUAGUUCAACACCAGAGAAUACAUAAUGGAGAGAAACCCUAUGAGUGUCACAAAUGUGGGAAGGCCUUUAGCCAGGGGUCACACCUUAUUCAGCAUCAGAGGAGUCACACUGGUGAGAAACCCUAUGAGUGUAAUGAGUGUGGGAAAACCUUUGGACAGAUAUCCACCCUAAUUAAGCAUGAGAGAACCCACAAUGGAGGGAAGCCCUAUGAGUGCAGUGACUGUGGGAAAGCCUUCAGCCAGAGUGCACACCUUAUUCGCCAUUGAAGAAUUCACAGUAGAGAGAAUCCCUAUGAGUGCAGUGACUGUAGGAAGGCCUUCAGUGUUCACUCCUCUCUCAUUCAGCAUCACAGAAUUCAUACUGGUGAGAAACCUGAUGAAUGUAGCGAGUGUGGCAAGGCAUUCAGUCAGCAUUCAUAAUUUAUCCAACAUCAGAGAAUUCAUACCAAAGAGAAACUCUACAUGUGCAGUGAAUGUGAUAAAUCCUUCAGUGCAUGCUUAUCCCUUAUCCAACACAAGAGAAUUCACACUGGAGAGAAACCCUGUGUAUGCACCAAAUGUGGAAAAUCCUUCCGACAAAGCUCUCACCUUAUUUGACAUCAGAGAAUUCACAGUGGGGAGCGACUUUAUACAUGAAAUCAAUGUGGAAAAAUCUUCGGUCAGAGGAUAACUCUUACUAGUCAUGAGAAAAUCCGUACAGUUCACAUUAGAGAGCAAGCCUAUGAAUGUAGUAAGUGUGGGAACUCUAGUGCACAGUCGUCUUUUAUUCAACACUGUACAGUUCACAGUGGAGAUUAA